UUUGGCAAUUUAUGAAGGGUAAAAUGAGACAAAUUCAAUUUAAGGCUAAAGUGAGAGUAAAUGGCAGUUUCAUGAGAUAUAUCAAUAAAUAAAUCUUUUCUAGAAUACAACUAAAUUAUGUACUCACGGUAAAAGAUAAAUUAAUAUCGAACUUGUCAUUGACGAUAUCUAAACAUAAAACCUUUCAAGUUUUUACCUAUAAGAAUAAAUUUGGUAUAGUAAUUUCUUUUCUAAUUUAAAGUUUCCCAUAGAGUUAUGACGAAUUUGAUACCAAAUUAGGCUGUCAUUGUGUGGCAUAGCCGAAUUCCUCCUCCCUUACUUUAAAAAUAACGAUGUACUCAAAAAAAGUUUCCCAUAGAGUUAAAAUGAUCUUUAGUUGCUUGCUGAGACAACCCAUAUGUAUAAUAAGACAUUGAAAAAGGUGCCUCUGUCAUUUACACUCACACGAUCGAAUAAGUAGCUCCGACAGUUGCAUCAUAAAAUUAAGGGGUUUUCCGAGAUUGUAGUAAGGUUGACGAUUAAAGUUUGGGAAAUUUUCAGGUUAAGGAAUCAAGGGAUCACAUUUUCAAGUUUCGUAGGCAUUCUCUUUCCUUUGGAAUGGUGUUGGAAUCCGUCCUGAAGUUGCCCAUUCCUUUGCUCUUGAUUUUCAGAGUUGGAUAGCUAUAAACCUUAGGACACAUUGUACCACCAUACAUGGUUUACCUUGGAACCUUAUCUUUAAUUCAACUCUCUGGCAUUGCUGGAAAUGGAGGAAUAACUUUGUCUUCAAUGAUGGCCAACAACCGCUUGACUCACCCCAGAAUUUCAUUUUUCAAUUUGCAAGGGAAUGGUGUGAUGCGAACAAGUGUUCUUCUAGUAAGCCUCCUAGACAAAAUCAUCUCAAUCCAUUGGAUUCGUUUGCCAAUUGGUAUACAAAAUCAAUACAGAUGGGAGUUGUAAAGACCCAUUUAGCCACAUAAGUGCUGGAGGUUUGCUUCGUAAUUCUGAAGGGAAAUGGAUUAAGGGAUUUGCUGCUAAUUUGGGCAGAGGAACCAUCAUGGAAGGUGAGCUUUAAGGGUGGUUUCAUGGGACUUUCUAUAGGUUGGGAUGAGAGUUGCAAGGAAGUGAUUAUUGAAUGUGAUUCUUAUGCUGCUGUUACUUUGAUCCAACAACCUAUUUUAGUUCCCACUCUACAAUCUCAUUAUUGACUGCAAAGAAGCCAUUGAAAGAAAUUGAAGAUGUGAAGUUACUCAUAUCUAUAGAGAAAAUAAUGUCUUAGCUAAUCACACGUCUGACUUAGGUCAUGGGUUAUCACUUGGUCUUCAUGUUUUUGCUUCUCCUUCUACCAUUGCUACUAAUUUUAUAGUUUCUAAUACUAUUGGCAGGGCCCUCCCUAGAGCUGUUUUUUAGUAGCUUUUUUGUUUUGCUUGUUGGGCUUUGCCCUCUUCUGUACCCAAAAAAAAAAAAAAAAAAAAAAAUAUUGGGAAAUUUAUUUGGACCCAACUUUUUUAUCUCUACACCCAAAUAAUAUUUUCUCUUAUCUAAUCUUCCAAAUUUGUCCUUAAAUAACAAACAUUGAAGUUUUCUUUGUAUCUCUACACCCAAACCCCACGAUCCACCACUGUAGGGCGCUCCAUUAUUUCCGACAAACCCAACUCAAACGCCAGCAACACUAAAAUCGACAAAUCAAGACUGGAGAACAAAUGGUGUAGGAGUCCUAAUGUGAAUAUUAAAGCAAACUUAAGUUGCAAAACCCUUUUUUAUUUCAAUCGAUGAAAGGACCUUGGGUUAUGAACAUAAGGAACCUAUUAGGGUUUAGAGGUCCCCUCCACAUCAUAUGCAUAAGCCCUUUUUCUUCAUUCAUUAAUUUACGGAAGGGAAAAUUAAUACUAUUAUUCUCAUAAAAAGUGGGAAUACCAAGGAAAGAGAUCCUCUCCACACCAUAUAUUUUUCUUUUCUGAGUAGUUAUAUCCAAUGGAGAGAGGAAAACAAGAGCACCAAUGGUCGCAGGUUCACCGGAGAAAAUGAAGGUGCAGUGGUGAUGUGAGUUUAGGGUUAUUGGGUGUAAAGAUAACAACUUUAAUAUUUAUUUUCUCAUUUUUAUUUAUUUAAGGGCAAAUUUGAAAGUUUAGUAGAGAAAAUUUGUUAGUUGGGUGUAGAGAUAAAAAGGUUGGGUCCAACAAAAUUUCUCAUAAAGUUUAAUCACGCGAUUAAGUUCUUGUGCAAUGAGUAAAUUGUAGCAAUGACCCAUCAACUAAAAAUCCAUUAUUAUUGAUCCCUCAACUCAUCAAAAUAUGUAGUUAUGGUCAUUUUCGUCAACUUUGUAAGAAUUUUGUCAAAAUAAAUUAUGUUGGAAGGACCAUUGUUACAAUUAAGGUCCUUCAACUCAUCAAAACAUGUAGCUAUGGUCAUUUUCGUCAACUUUGUCAAAAUGAGUUAUGUUGGCAUGACCAUUAUUGCAAUUGGGUUAAAGUUGAGGAAUCAUUGCUCCAAUUGGGUUAAAGUUGAGGGAUCAUUUCUCUAGUUAGAUUAAAGUUGGGGGACCAAUGAUAAUUAAGUUUUAGUUAAGGGAUCAUAGUUGCACGUUUUGAUGAGUUGAGAGAUCAAUGAUAAUGAAUUUUUAGUUAAUGGAUCAUUACUCCAAUUGAGUUAAAAAUAAAGGACCAUUGCUACAAUUUACUCUUGUGCAAUAGAAGAUUAAUUUGGCCGAACAACCUGAUUAAGGUGCCUACUUUCUCUUUAAUUCAUUGGUAUCAUUUAUUUUCCCUUAAGCUGAAUUAUGCUCAAUUUAUGUAUCAAUAUUGUAAAGUUGUCUUUGUUAGAGUAAUUUGGACAAUAUAAAUUGAAAAUUAUUUGUGUAUAUGGAAAAGAUUAACCUCAGGGGUCACUUCGCCGGACUCCGUAGCAAUCUCCACCACUCCAAUCGUAAUGGUGAGUAAAUCACUUGUGUUUGUUUCCAUUUUUUCAAUUGGAAAUUGGGGGUUUUGAAUUCAUAUUUUGUCAAUUGGUUUUGUGAGCACUGAGAAUACACUACGAGCUUGUGUGUGUGUACAAUAUGUUGGAUUUGAUCUUUAUAAAGAAUGCGAGAAAUUGGGGUUAGGAAAGAGAAGAAAAGGAAACAGAACUCGAACUUCGAUCUUCAUUCUUGUUACUAAAGGAGAAAACCGAAUUUGAACCGGUUCAUACGUAAUCGAACCGAAUUUGUAUAGUUCGGUUCACCCCUUAGUACCGAACCGUACCAUACCAAAAAAAAUUUCUUGAGUUUGGUUUUGAUACAUCCCUCAUACUGUACCAUACCAAAUCGUGGCCAGACCUACUGAAUACAAAACUUAUAUCUGGGUCGUAAGUCGUAAGGCCUCCAAAAAAAAAGUUCAUAUUAUUCAUACCAAUCGGACAAAUCCCGCACCCAAAAACAAUGGCUAGAUAGAAAGUUCAAUUAUAGAUUAGGUAAUCUAUCCUUUUCAACUUAAAUGCACAUUCAUGAUGGUUAUGCAAAUCAUAUUAUGUUAACAAAUGCAACAAUUAAUUAUAUUUAUCCAUUUGGAAUGAUAUAUAUUUUCAAAGAUGGAAUUACAGACCCCGUUGACGUUGAGGCCAUUGCAUGAGAGAAUUUUAGAUGAUUUUCAAUUAAUUUAUAUUAUUGUUGUGAUAACCAUAAUAAUUAUUUUCUAAAUGUAAAACUAUAUUAAUGAAAUUUUCUUUGUCGGUCAAAAGAAGAUGAAAAGAUAUCUUUAUCUUCUAUCACAACAAAAAAAUUAAGGAUAUUAAUGUAAUAGGCUAAUAGCGAUGGGGUGAAGAAAUGGAACUAUCCUAAAUAGGCAGUUGCUGGUUAUAUUGGAUCAGGUGGUCUGAAUGAUUGGAUAAUUAGCAAAUAAAAAGGUUCCAUUUUUCAUGGACCCUCAAGUGGAAAUAUGGGAUAAAAGAUGGCAUAUACCAUUUUAUCCAUUUGUGAUUGUACAUUUUGAUGGUUGUGAUUUCACCCGAUGGCGCGGCAAGUGUGGAUUGGGAUAAGGAUGGUUUUGGUCUAUCAUCAAAGAUGGUUUGAUGUUCACGACUGGAUUUUACAACGCAUCCAAGUGCAUGGGUUCUAUAAAUACAGAGUUGCGCACAAUAAAAAAGUACAAAGGACCUUCAAACCUUUCACACACUCUGAGAAACUCCUGAUUCUCCCAACUUCGUCAACACAUCUUCAAUUUGGAUUAACAUCACUGUUUGUCAGUGAGGAGUCCUUAGUCUUCUCGUCUCAUUAGCCCUCUAGGUGAAGUGAGGUGUUACUGAAUUACUUGAGUAUUCAGCACAUUGAAAGUCGAACCUUAUUUGAACUUCACAGUAGUUAGCAAUCUUAUCUUCAGGUUUUAGAACCCAAUGCCAAGACAUAUUCCUUCCUCGACAGUGAUGGUUUGUACACAAAAGUUGGUUUGUACACAUAAGUCAGUAUUGUGUUUGACACACCAUCCCAUUCAUUCUACUAGCCCACAAACGCGUGGACUCGUCCAAAAUUACCCCACUCUCGGCCCGUUCACUUGCCCACUCGUCCCACGCGGCCCGUGAGUCUUCAGUGCCUGAUAGGGGGGCCUACUGUUAGGGCCGUUGUUGGCCACAACCCAGAGCCCAACGAUUUUUUUUUGCAUCCCACGACUGGCAUUUUUGGACCGUUGGUUGAUCCAACGGUCCAGAUUCAAAUUUUGUUUUUUUAAAUGUUAUUUUAAAAUACAUUGAAUCCAACGGCUGAGAUCGAAUAUAAUCAAAUCUAACGGUAAAAUAAAAAAAGAUAAAAAAAGAUAUAACAGUCCAAAUUUAAAUCCAACAGCUAAAAUAAUUUUAAAAAAAAUUAUUUAACUCAAAAUUCACCCAAAAACUCUAUAAAUACCUUUGUAUUUGUUCAAACAUCCACACAAAACUCAAUUUUCUCCCACAAUUCUUCCAUUUUUUCUUUCUACCAUUUCUUUCCAUUUCCAAAUUGUUCAACACGAUCCUUGAAUUGGCCAUCCCAAGCAGUAAGACAAUUCUUCCACUCCCAAAGCAUACAAUCGAGACUUCCUAUCAUGUCAGGAAAGCCUAUUUUGUCUGCUUUGAGUAGAAUGUGACGACAUGUCCCGAAUUAUUAUAUAUUUUUCUCCCUAAGUGUGUAAAGUGACGGUAAUGCCCUCGUGAUUUAGUGACGUGGAUGUACAUAUGUAGUUUUAAAUUAUUAUUUCUAUUGUCGUAGUUAAAUUGUACUCGACGCCAUGAGUGUGUUGAUGUGACCUAGGGCUAAAACAAAUUCGUAACGAAGAAGUUACGAACAGACGAGUGUGUAAAUGCGUAGAAAUAUAUUUUUAUGGGUUGGCUAUACCUUACCCACCAAUCACCUUAAUUCCUGAUUUCUUUGGCCUAAUUGAAUUAAAAAUAUCUCUCAUUUUUCCUUCUGCCCAAUCACGCACAUACACACCAUCACUCUCUCUCUUCUCUCGGACCUUCUUCUUCUUUCUUCUCAUUCCGUACACCCGAGCCACCCUUACCUCACAAUCAUCAUCAAAACAUUAUGGAUCGAAUUGGAAAUCACUACCAUCGCAGUCACCUCGAUCCCACGAACUCAUUGAUACCCUUAGGUCGAGGAAUAGACGUCGGGAAUUCGAGAACUCGGGAGCUCUGGCGAGGUGUAUUUUUCUACUUUGUGAUCGUGGUCUUUUUCUAUGGUUUAAAGGCUUGAGGUGGGUCCUAAUCAACUUUAUAGGGACCCUAGAUUAGUUUUGGAGCAGUUUGAACGUUGGAAUAGGUGAGAACAUGGAGUUGCAGGUUGGCCGGUUGAUCCAAGCCUUACUCCGACCACUUUCUGUCGGUUUUAGAACCUCAAGUAGGUAAGAUUGUAUUCUUCUAGUUGAGAGUUUCAAAUCCAUAUAAAAUUCAUGGAAUUUGGUUGAAAAAUGAUGAAGAUAUUAAAGUUUUAAGAUUUUUCCAAAAAUCAGCGACACAAACGGCGCCCGACGGCCAGCGAUGGAUUCCGACAAAGCCAUCGGAGAAGGAGGAGAAUAUUAUGUCUAACUUUGACAGAAUAUACUAACAGCGUCAGGUAACUCUAUUAGUUUUUAAACAAAAUAUUCUACUAUUUAAUGAAAUAUUCCCUAACGCCGUUAGGGAUUCCGUGCCUGCACGUGCCGGCUUAUGAGGGCGCGUGAGACGUCAGGAAAUUAAUCUAAAAAUAUUGGGGUGUUCGAGUUGUUGAGUAGGUCAUGUUGGUAUAUUCAAACACCCUAUUUGAGCAACGUAUGAGAAGUUAUUCCUAGGGUUUGUGUAUGUGCCUUAAAAUUAAUGUAAAAUUAGUUAUUUCGCAUAUAGGUGAGACUUACCCGGAGGACAAACGUGGUCAAACGAGACUUGGGGGCUACGAUCCUACUACUUACCAGUGAGCGGGCUUUUUUUUUCUAUAUAUAUGUAAAUAUGCUUAUGAAUCCCAUAAACUACUUUAAAUGAACGUAUGUUUUAAAUGCCAUGUCGUGUGCAUUAUGUGUUAGUAUUGCAUUAGUAUAGCUAUGCAUAGUAUUGGAUGAGACUGCGCAGACUCAGGUAAGUUUCAGGUGAGUACAUCAUGAUGGUAUUGGGUGCGUGUGUGUGGUUAUACGUUGAUGCAUUUUGAGCUUAUUAUCCUGCACAUUGGUGUUAGUGUUCUCGCCCAUGGCCAGGGCAUAGUUUUUCACAUGAUGUUCACCUCCUGGGCCGCACGCUCACUUUGGAUCCAAGUUUGGUGCACAGCCAUAUUGCACAGACCACAAUAGGUGGUUCCGACUCGUAGGUGACCUGCAAUUAUUUGCACAGCCUUCACGUGAUCGUAGCACUUAAGCGUACUUAUCUACACCCAGCCCUGUUGUACAGACCACAAUAGGUGGUUCCGACUUAUGUGCAUGCAUACUUGAUGAGCUAUAGAUUCAAUUGUACAGGUUACAUUAGGUGACUCCGGUUGGCAUACUAUUUUAGGUUGAUUCGUAUCACCUGGCUUACACAUUUUAUGGUUGAACAUCUUGACAUGGCAUACCUCUGUUUUCACUGCUCUAAGCAUUAUCCUUAUGUACCUAGUUGUUAUUAUUUUCUGGAAAAUUAUAUGGGUUUACAGUGAGGGGUUAGUAUGUUCAUAAAGACAACUGUGUUUUCAAAAACUUUGUUUUUGCCUACUCACAUUUUUUGUUUUGCACCCUUUCAGGUUCUAGGUAGUUGGUCAUCCUUGGUGGCUCACGAGGACUUUCACGGCGGUUCUGACAUCUCUGUAAAUAAGUAGGGAUUUUUUUCCCUGUUUGUAUAAUUAGUACUUAGUUGGUUCGAUUGCACUUUCGUUUACCCAUGCUCUGAUAUUUGUAUAACUUGCUUGGUCAUCUUUACUCACUUAUAUUAUCUUAGUUUAGAUAAGUUUGGUUUUAGGUUUUUAUUUAUUCGCAUUUCUUUUAUUAUUACUUCUGUUGCGCAUUUUGGCUACGUUACUCUUACGUGACGGGCAUCAUGUUUCGACUUCGGUUGGGGUGUGUCAUAAAAGCCUCUUCAAGUCUUCAUGAUUUGGCUUGCAGAGAUAUGUGGCUCCAUAUGUGGCCUGAAUUGCCCCACAGAAGCGCUCCAGGUUUUUAAUAGCAGUAGUCUCCGCAAGUCGGCAAUACUCAUCAGUUGAGUUUGCAGAGCACUCAUUAGCUAGCAUCCGAAAUGCAGAUGUGAGCUUCUGAUGAGGUGAUAGACUUUGUCGGCCUACGACAUUUAUCUUCCUUGCAAAGUAGUGGUCAUGAUUGACAACUGUGUUCAAGAUGCUUUCAAAAAUCUCUCUCCUCAUUCGAAACCGUCUCCGAAAAUCAUGAGCAGGAAAUCUCGGACGCUCAAUAAAAUAAUAUUUCAUCAUUCGGUCAUGACACUCUUCUCUAUCACGUUGCACAAAUGAACGCUUCGUGACAUAACCACAAUAGCUAGAUUCGACAUGGUGCUCAUAUUGCAUAAGCGAGUUUGGAAGUUUAGCUUAUGCGUUGAUCAUUUUUGAAUCCUCAAUGUCAAGGCUUGCUUGGUAUUAUGUCAUUUGCAUUGCCCUGCUACACCUUCUUCUAUCAUCCAUUGUUGAUAUAUUGAGGAUUUUUAUGAAACAAAAACACUUUGAAAGUUGAAAGAUUAGUGAAUAUAGGGAAUGAUUGAAGGUUGAAAGAUUGUGUGACCAACUGAUAUUGAACAUGUGUUUAUAUAGAGGAUGAUUGAUGAAAGUUGAAAGUUUGGUGAAAGUUGAACGGUUGGUGAAAGUUGAAGAUUUGUGAAAGUUAAAGACUUGCUUUGUGGAAAGAUUUAGUGAUUUUUUCAAUAUUUAUUGGAAUUUAAAUAUUUUUAUAUUAAAAUGUUCAUAAAAUUAAUUUACCAUAGGCUACAUAAUUUUUUUUAAAAGUUAAUUUAAGAAAAAAAAUUAGCCUAAGUUCAUUCUUUAAUAAUCCCGAACUAAAAUUUUAGGCUAGGGUUGGAGCAGAAAAACUGUUUCUGUGUUAAAAGCUAAAUUUUUUAGAUUAAAAAUUUUAAAUUUUAACCCAAAGGUUGGAGAUGAUUUAAGAAUGGAUAAACUUAACCAAGAAAAGAAGAAAAAAGAUGAAGGGCAAAUAAGUGAGAAGCAACAUGACACGACACACGGACGACCAUAGCAAUAAAGCGUGCGUCCUCACGUCCAUUGAAUAUAUAGAUGGGAGCUACAACAUCGUGUUUCACGUGCAUGUGUAUUAUACAUAAAGGCAUAUACAGUGUUAGCUUAUAUAUUAUAAAGUUUGUAGGCCACUUACCCAAUUUGGCAUAUGUUUUAUCUUUUUACGUGAAUAACCAAUGUGUUAUGAUGAUACAAGUCUCUUAACAUAUCCGGAGUUAGAAAUAUCAUAAGACAGUGUUGCGAUCAUAUUGAAAUUAAUUGACAGUUUGUAUUAUAUAUUUGAUUAUUCUUUAUUAACUUAAGGAGACAGCAUACUUAGACCUAAUUUAGUCACAUUCUCCAACCGAAAAUAAAGCGGUGUAGUAUUCAUACACUUUUUUUUAUUUCUUACACAGUCUUAAUUAAUUUCUAUUGUUUGAUCUUCUUCAAUUCAUUCGAUCUGACGACCGAAAAUUAAGAUGGUGUGUGGACGAGUAAAUUAUAACAAUGGUCCCUCAACUUUAAUCAAAUUGGAGCAAGGGUGCUCAACUAAAAAUCCAUUACCAUUGGUUCCUCAACUCAUCAAAAUGUGUAGCUAUGGUCAUUUUCGUCAACUUCGUUACAAUUUUGUCAAAAUAAGUUAUAUUGGAAUGACUAUUGCUACAAUUGGGGUCCCUCAACUCAUCAAAACGUGUAGCUAUGGUCAUUUUCAUCAAUUUCGUUAGAAUUUUAUCAAAAUGAGUUUUGUUGGAAUGACCAUUGCUACAAUUGAAUUAAAGUUGAGGGACUAUUAUUUCAAUUGAGUUAAAGUUGAAAGAUCAUUUCUUCAGUUGUAUUAAAGUUGAAGGAUCAAUGGUAAUGAAUUUUUAGUUGAGGGGACUAUAGCUGCACGUUUUAAUGAGUUGAGAGAACAAUAAUAAUGAAUUUUUAGUUGAAAAACUAUUACUUCAAUUGAGUUAAAAUUAAGAAACAAUUGCUACAAUUUUUUUAUAUGGAAAGUGGAUGAUGUGAAUAGCACAUCCAAAAAUAAAAGGGAACUUUAACGAAAAGCACCCGGUACUGUUCACUUUAACGAAAAACCACAUUUUUACACUAAAAAGUCAAUCCUGGUACUAUUCACUUUACCCUUUAUUUUGUCCUUAUCAUUAAAACUCAAAGUUUUCAAGCCCUUUUCAUUAGUUUUCCUAAAAUAAAAUGCACCACAAUUUGGUAGGAUCUUCCUGUUGAGAGUAAUAAAUUAAUAAUUGCCGAAAUAUUGGAUAAUUUGUCGGCCACAACGCUAUGAGGGAGUAUCUGGGGAUGAAUAUACUCUUGCCGACAGAUGCCCAAAUUCCAACUGCCAUUCAAAUGAGCCCUCCACCACCACCGGCCAUAAUAAAUUCUCUUUCUUUAGUGAAGAAGAAAAAGAGGUACUUGGCCCUCACCUCAACUUUUUGAGAAAGAACAAGUUUAUCGCUAUCAGAAUGUUUCGGUCAAUUAUAUAAGUUAUGUGUAAAUUUUUCUUUAGAUAACAUUACAUUAUUAUAUUUAAAAUGUUCCGUAACGAUAAAUUUGUUUCAUACAAAUUAUUCUCCAACUUCUUGGAUUUUUCUCCUUUUUCCCGAAAACCAGCUUAUAUUAGUGUUCAUCCUCUGUCAAUAUCACUCGCCCACAACUAUUCAACUAACUUUUAAUAAUUUGACAACGUGUCAUAUUUUUGUGCAAAGCGGGCCCAUUUUUGUGGGUGAUAUAAUAAUGGCGUAUGUGGUUUGUCAAGACAUAUACUCAUUUAUCCAUUAGCAGUUAGGUAAGUCACCUCACUCACCCACAGCCUAACACAUCAACAAAUAUUGCUUACAAAUUCUAGAAAAUUCGACCAAGAAAAAAAACCAAAUGCUCGCAAAUUAAAAUUGUGUAACAUGAUUAGUUUUUUAUCCAUUAGUAUUAAUUUUACGUUGGAAGAAAUUCCAAAUUUAUUCUUGUAAAGAGGGAUAUGAAAAUACUUUGUAUGUCUAUCACCAAAAUCUUCGAAUGUUUGAAUGGUUGAUUUUCAAGUCUCACACAAUUGGAUUUAGUUCAAGUGAGAAAGAAAUACACUCAAACUAUUAGAUAUGAGGAAUGAAAAUACACUACAAAAUCUUGUGAACAUUUCUAAUAUUCUCUUCUAUCUACUUUUUGUGAACCAAGUUUUUAUUUGUUUUUUUUUUUAACAAAAGAUAUUUUUUAUACUAGGGAAAUAAGGUGGGUUUAGCCUCAUAAUGGGCUAACAUAAUCUAGUUCAAACUUGCAUUUGGUGAGAAUCGAACCUAAAAUCUCUCACUUACAAGUGAAGAGGAAUACCAUUAGAAGUGUCAUGAAAUUAGCAGUCUUAUAUGUAAAAAAUUGAUUGACUAAAUGCUGUGUUAAAAAACAAGAUUAAUACUUGCAUCUCCCCACUUGGAAAAUGCAAAUAUUUCAUUUCUUGCAAAUAACGUAUAUCAUGCGUUCUGUUCAAUCGCAUAUUCAAAAAUGUUAAAAACAAGAUUAAUAUUUCUAUCUCCCCACUUGGAAAAUGCAGUAUUUCAUUUUUUACGAAUAACGUAUAUCCUGUGUUCCGUCCAAUCGCGUAUUAAAAAAAUGUGUGAAGUUUGGAUUAACUACACUCUUUGAGAAUUUCCUUAAAUAACCACUUUUUGAAAAUUUCUUAUAGGACUAAGUGAGUCUCCGCUGAGAAUUUCCUUAACUAACACAACACUACUUGAGUGAUAAUUUGUUAUAUCUUGAAUAGAGAAUAAAUCAGUUCCCUACUUUUGAAGGUACUAUUAACUUACACUAUAUUUGAAUGAGAACAAUAAACUUAGAAUUUAGAUGAAGGAAAUAAAACAGUUUCCUACUUUUGAAGGUACUACUCGAGUGAUAAUUUGUUAUAUCUUGAUAACGUGUCAUAUUUUUUUGCUAAGCGGACCCAUUUUUGUGGGGUGGUAUAAUAAUGGCGUUUGUUGUUUGUCAAGGGCAUAUACCCAUUUAUCCAUUAGCAGUUAGGUCACCUCACUCACCCACAACCUAGUACAUCAACAAAUAUUGCUUACAAAUUCUAGAAAAUUCAACCAAGAGAAAGAAAACCAAAUGCUCGCAAAUUAAUCUGUGUAACAUUAGUUUUUAUCCAUUAGUAUUUAUUUUACAUUGGAAGAAAUUCCAAAUUUAAUCUCGUAAAGAGGGAUAUGAAAAUACUUUGUAUAUCUAUUAUCAAAAUCUUUGAAUGUUUGAAUGAUUGAUCAUCAAGUCUCACACGAUUGAAUUUAGUUCAAGUGAGGAAGAAAUACACACAAACUAUUAUAUAUGAGGAUUGAAAAAUACACUACAAAAUCUUGUGAUAACAUUUCUAAUAUUCCUUUCUAUCUACAUUUUGUGAUAAGUUUUUUUUUUCCUUUUUUGAACAAACUAUAUUUAUCUACAUUAAGGGAGAGGAGGUGAUCUUAGCCUCACAAUGGGCUAGCAUAAUGUGGUUCAAAUUCGCCUUUGGCGAUAAUCGAACCUAAAACUUAUCAUUUACAAGUAAAUAGGAAUACCACUAGAUGGAUCAUGAAAUUAGCAGUCUUAUAGGUAAAAAAAAAUUGAUCGACUAAAUGAUGUGUUAAAAAACAAGAUUAAUACUUGCAUCUCUCCACUUGAAAAAUGUAGAUAUUUCUGUGAACACGGAAAAUUCCUGAAACGAAAGAGACAAGAACAACGUGCACAAAAUAAUAUUUUGGUGUUAAUGGAUUUGUUGGGUUACGAUCUCUUUUAACUUGAUCCUCUGAUUCGAUCUCCGUAAGGUGUUGAUUUAUGGAUGUUUCGUUGAUCCAAGGGCUGUUGAGGCUUGAUCUUAGAUGAACUGUUGGAAGUUUCUUCAAGGGGCCGUGGGCUUGAUCUUUGAAGGUGGAUUUGAGCGGAUCUUCAAGGAGCCGUUGGGGCUUGAUCUUGAGGAUGAGUGUUUCUUCAAGGGCCGUUAAGGCUUGAUCUUGAAUAACGGUGAUGAACGGAUCUUCAAGGGCUUUUGGGCUUGAUCUUGAAGAACGGUUGGAUGUGUGGAUUUGUUGAUGUUGUUGAUCCAAGGGCCGUCGGAGCUUGAUCUUGGAAGAACGAUGAACGAAGAACGAAGAACACUUUCUUCAAAGGCCGUCGGGGCUUGAUCUUGAAUUGGUGAUUGUUGAUCCAAGGGCCGUCGGGGCUUGAUCUUGGAAGAACGAUGAACGAAGAACGAAGAACACUUUCUUCAAGGGCUGUCGGGGCUUGAUCUUGAAUUGGUGAUUGUUAAUCCAAGGGCCGUCGGGGCUUGAUCUUGAUUCUUCGGGAUGAACGGAUGAUGAACAAUGAACACUUUCUUCAAGGGCCGUCGGGGCUUGAUCUUGAAUUGGUGGAAGUUCUUCAAGGGCCUUUGGGGCUUGAUCUUGAAGGUGGAUGAUUGUUGAUCCAAGGGCCGUCGGGGCUUGAUCUUGGGAUGAACAGUUGUGUGGAUUUGUUGAACACUUUCUUCAAGGGCCGUCGAUGCUUGAUCUUGAAUUGGUGGAAGUUCUUCAAGGGCCGUUGGGGCUUGAUCUUGAAGGAGGAUUUGACGAAGAACGAAGAGGGCUUUCUUGAUCCUUCGGGAUUUGCUUGAAUUUGGGAGGUUGGAUGCUUGAAAGCUUUAGAGUUUCAAAGCUUCAAGGAUUUUGGAUGUGUGGGGAGUAUUCUCUUCCAUUUUGGGAGUAGAGAAAUGUAUUUGUGAAUUGGUUUUUGAUACCUUGAUGUAGAAGCCUAUUUAUAGGCUUUGAGAAUGAAUCACCACCACAAAAUAUUUUUUUUCUUUUCCAAGCACCAUUGCCUAAUUUCCCACUUAAUACAAUUUUAAACUUGAAGUGGUAAUUUUAUGGCCUAAUUUUCCACUUAAUAUCAUUUUAAACUUGAUAUGUGCAUGCUUUGUCAUUGCCCAAAAUGAGAAGAAAACCUUGUUUUGAUCUUCAAUGAAUUGAAAUGUGCUUGCCUUGUCAUUGCCCAAAAUGAGAAGAAAAACUUGUGUAAUCCUUCAAGGGUAUUUCUUUUUAUUUUGUUGAGUCGCACACCAUGUGUACAAUUUGUAUGACACGUGGCAUAUGCCAUGUACGCCUUGACACGUCAAAAUUUUAAUGCGUUGGUGAACAUUUAUUUCACCGCAAUUUCGGUGUCUACAAAUGCCCCCACUUCAAGGUGCGUCGUAUACAUGUGCUUGUCACGUGUAGGAGAUGCGUUUUGAAGUCCCUUACUGUAGAUGUCAAUCCAAUGGCCAUCGAGGCUUGAUCUUGAAUUGGGCUGGAGAUUUCUUCAAGGGCCGUUGAGGCUUGUUCUUGGACUUUGUUUGAAAUUUCUUCAAGGGCCAUCGAGGCUUGAUCUUGAAGGUUGAAAUUGGACCACAAGGAGCUUCAUGUGGUAGAUGAUCUUUGGCUUUGGUAGUGGAUGAAUCGGCACGUAUUUGUUUUUGCGCUUUGUUGACUUUCCACAGCUUUGAUCUUGAACUGGGUUGGAGGAUUUUUUGGAUUCCUCCAAUUGUUGAUUUUCCACAGUUUAUUCUUGAACUGGAUUUGAUUCAAAUAUGGUGGACGCUUGAUCUUGAAUCGGACUUGUGAUUUCCUCAAGGGCCGUCGAGGCUUGAUCUUGAAUUUGGCCGGAAACUUCUUCAAGGGCCGUUGAGGCUUGAUUCUUGAAGGUUGACUCGAACACAUGGCAAGCAGGCACGAGGUGAAGGUGACGACUUGUUGCUUUGUUCAAUCUUUCUAAUUCACACCUGAGCAGUUUGGUCAACGGUAUGAUCUUCAAGAUUGAUGGGCUCUUCUUCCAGUUGGUGAUUUGAUCUUUAAGGAUUUGAUUCAAGGGUGGUGAAACGGCACAUGCAGCCCACAACGCCUAGCAAGUCGACCCAAGAAUUUGAGGGUUAAAACGAGUCCUCCACCCAGAGUGAUUGCAAACCUGAUGAUAUGAGAUACUUUUGAUUUUGAAGAAGUAGCGGAUGAAUCGGCACGUGCUUUGUUGUGCUUGUCUCCACAUGCUUCAAUGUAUCAUUUUCCCUUGUCUUAUCUAUUCUUCUAGCAGAAUGUAGCAUCUUCUUAAGUUCUUCAACUCAGACUCCUUCUGCUGAGCUGACUGUGCAGGCUGCAUUAUUCUCUGCUUGUUUCUUUAGGCAGAUGUGGCAGCUUCUUGAGUUCCUCAGCUCGGACUCCUUCUGCUGAGCUGAUUGUGAAGACUGCAUUCUUAUCUGCUUGUUUCUUCUGUACGUUGUCUCCACAUGCUGCAAGGUAUCAUUUUCAAUUGCCUUAUUUGUUUUCCAGGCAAAUGUGGCAUCCGAGUUUGAGUGGAGGUUCUGGCAUAUUGUUUUCUUUAUCCUUGUCUUUGUAGGUAAGAACAAGGACAAAGGAAAGGACAGGGAGAACGCAUGAUAUGAUAUACUCUUGCUUUCUACCCUGGUGAUAUGAGAUACUUUUGCUUUGGUGUCAUUUGUUUGCAGAGGUACCCCAAGGAAUAAGAAACACUGAGUGACUCGAGAGGCUUUGUUGGGAAGGCAUUCUAGGAGAUGAAGAAAGGUUCUUGGAGAUGAAGAAAGGUUCUCGGAGAUGAAGAAAGGUUAUGUAUGUCUGCCUUGCUAUGGAGGGUAAAGGUGGACAGUUAUAGGAAAUUCUUUAGUACCUGUAGAGGUACUAUUCUUUUACUCGUGUCGGCAACCAAUGUGUGAUUGAUCAGUAUGGCUUCACGUGUUUUCUUCUUUAUCAGAAAUCUUCGACAAAUUGUCCGUAAUUUUCGUCAAGCUGAGUGUGCAUGUGACAGGUGUUGACGAGGCUGAAAAAGACUGGUGCCUCUUCGAUAUCUGGGAUCGGCGCUUCGACAAAUUGCCCGUGAUUUCCGCAAAGCUGAGUUUGCGCGUGACGGGUGCUGACGAGGCUGAAAAAGACUGGCGCCUCUUCGAUAUCUGGGAUUGGCGCUUUAACAAAUUGCCCAUGAUUUCUGCAAAGCUGAGUUUGCACGUGACGGGUGCUAACGCGUCUGGAAAAGCAAGAUGCUUCUCCGAUUUCUGAGCUUGCCUCUUUGAUUUUUGAAUUGGCCUCUUCGAAUUCUGAGCUCGCCUCUUCGAUCUUUGAAAUCCCAUCGAGUGUUGAUCUUUAUAGAGGCACGCAGUUCGUUUCAAAGCACACUUGAAUUUUCGCUUGUAGAAACUCCCUUCUUGCACUUCUAAGAUCUUGAUUUGUCCGACCUCUUCUUUCUUCAACACCUUUGAAAAUGUCUGGACCCUCCGACCGUCAUUUUGAUUUGAACCUUGGUGAAGAGGUAGUCCCGUCUUCUCCAGAUAACAUAUGACGCCCAUCUUUCAUAUCCCCUACUGGUCCUCUUACCGUUGGGGAUUCGGUGGUGAAGAAUGAUAUGACCGCUGCGGUGGUGGCCCGAAACCUUGUCACUCCCAGAGAUAACAGACUACUUUCCAAACGGUCUGAUGAGUUGGCUGUUAAGGAUUCUCUGGCUCUCAGUGUGCAGUGUGCAGGUUCUGUGUCUAAUAUGGCCCAACGCCUAUUUGCUCGAACCCGUCAAGUUGAAUCAUUGGCGGCUGAAGUGAUGAGUCUCAAACAGGAGAUAUUAGAGGGCUCAAGCAGAGAGAUAAACAGUUGCAUAAGCUCGCACAUAGCUAUGCGACAAACAUGAAGAGGAAGAUUAACCAGAUGCAGGAAUCUGAUGGUCAGAUUUUACUUGAUCAUCAGAGGUUUGUGGGUUUGUUCCAGCAGCAUUUGCCUUCGUCUUCUGGGGCUGUACCGCGUAAUGAAGCUCCAAAUGAUCAACCCUUGGCUCCUCUUCUUCCUGGAGUUCCGCCGAGUGGUGUGGCUUCAAACAGUCAACCUCCGACGCCUCUCAUUUCUGGAGCUCUGCUGAGUGGUGAGGUGGCACCUAAUCGUCCUUGAAGAUCCCCUCUUGUAAAUUUGAUUUGAUUUUUUUUUAAGUAUGUAUAAUGCAAAUUUAUGUAAAAUUUCCAGAAAAAAUAAAUAAAAACGGACUUUAUUUCUCUCAAUGCAUUUGUUUUGUUUUGUUUUUGUUUUUUUUGUUUUUUUGUUUUUGUUUUUUUUGUAAAUACAUAAUAACAUAUGUAUUUAUUUAUUUAUUCUUUUGUAAUAAAAUUGACUUUCUUUAAUAAAACUUUUAUAUUUUUCUUAUUUAUUUUGAUAUGACUGAACUCGAAAUUGAAUGUUCGAGCCGCCUACGUACCCUUCCAAAGAAGAGAUCAAGCCAUAACGUAGUUCAAAUGAGUGAUGAAUUUAAUAGUGAUUUUGAUGAUGAUUUUGCCGUACACAGUUUAUGCUCUUGUGGGCCAGGAGCUUUGGUGUUGCCUUUUAUGCUCGUGCAGACCAGGAGCGUUGAUGUCGCCUUUUAUGCUCGUGUGGGUCAGGAGCGUUGAUGUUGCCUUUUAUGCUCGUGCAGACCAGGAGCUUUGUGCCAUGCAGUUUAGACUCGUGCGGGCAAGGAGCUUUGGUUCGUGCAGUUUAGGCUCAUGCGAACAAGGAGCAUUGGUUCGUGCAGUUUAGGCUCGUGCGAACAAGGAGCAUUGGUGUUGCCUUUUAUGCUCGUGCAGACCAGGAGCUUUGUGCUAUGCAGUUUAGACUCGUGCGGGUGAGGAGAAUUUGUGAAUUUUGUCAAGCACUUUUGGAGAGGCGUUCCUUACAAUCUUCAUAGCAAGGAGCCUUGACCGAGUGAUUGAAGAAGUCUUCGGGAAAGAAGUCGCACAUCGUGAUGGCAACAGACGAUCUUUGUGUCGUAAUUUCAUCAUCUUCAACACGUUCACGUUGCUUUGAAGGUUGACAAGAGCUGCUUUGCCCCCUUUCCGAUUGGCGGACUUGUGGAGGAGACGUAUGCUUCUUGUGCCAUUUCUUAGGAGUGACUUGAGUCCAUCCUUCAAGUUUGCUUGUUUUGGAGGAUGCCCCCGGCGGUUGAGGUGAAAAUUUUGUGUUGAAAGAGCCAGAAGUGAUGGUGGUAUAGUUUGACUUCACCACAUCGUCAAGAUCUAGCUCGAUGAUUCCUUUCUGAGCCCACUUUAUGAUGAGAUCUUUCAGCACAAAGCACUUUUCUGUCGGAUGACUGAUGAAGCGGUGGAAUUUACAGUAUCUUGGACUGUUGGUACGAUUCAUCUCUUCCGGCCAUCUGCACUCAGGCAAACUGAUCACCUUCUUGUCCAACAGGUCAUCCAACAUGGCAACCACAUCAGAGUCAGGGAAUGGAUAAGUCUUCUCUUUAAGCUCCUUCAAAGUGCGUCUACGCAUCUCUUGAUCACGAAAAGCUUCGGUUUGAAUCGUUUUGCCUCGUGUGGAGAUUUUGACGGGAGAUGUGUUGACUGUCAUUGCUUCCUUGGUGGAUUUCCACGUAGCCUUCUCCACCUUUGUCUCAAGAAUUUUGUCGUUCUUGUAGUCGGCGAUCGGUUCCUUCUUCCCAUGAUGGGUGAUGCUCAACUCCAUGUCAUGGGCGUGGGUGGCCAAUUCCUCGAAGGUCCGUGGUUUAAUGCCUUGAAGGAUGUAUUGCAAACCUCAUUGCAUGCCUUGGAUGCACAUCUCGAUUGAAGAGGUCUCCGAGAGCCUAUCUUUGCAGUCGAGGCUUAGAGUGCGCCAUCUGUUGAUGUAGUCAAUGACCGGCUCAUCUUUCCAUUGCUUCAUACUUGUGAGCUCCAACAUGCUUACAGUGCGGCGGGUGUUGUAGAAGCGGUUGAGGAAUUCCCGCUCCAAUUGCUCCCAGCUGUUGAUGGACUCAGGCUCUAGGUCCGUGUACCACUCAAAUGCGUUUCUUUUCAGCGAGCGCAUAAACUGCUUGGCGAAGUAGUCCCCCUCCGUCCCCGCGUUGUUGCAAGUUUUGACGAAAUGUGCAACGUGCUGCUUUGGGUUUCCUUUUCCAUCAAACUGCAUGAACUUUGGUGGUUGAUAUCCCAUCGGCAUCUUUAGGGCAUCAAUCUUCUUUGAAUAAGGCUUUGAGUACAACCCGGAGGUAUUUGAGCUCCCUUCGUACUAUGCCUUGACGGUGCUGGCAAUCAUCUCUUGCAACUGUUGGAUAGAAAGAGAUCCCAUGAGUGCCGCUUCUUGGUCUGGCUCCGGCUUCACAUCGAUUUUCUCCACCGUAGGCUCAUCUUCUGGGUUAGGGUUCUCGCUGUCCUGUGGCUCCAGUUGACUGAUGAGUGCAGCGAUUUGCAAGUCUUUUUCUUCCACAGUUCGGGUUAGCCUUGCGAUUGCUUCAUUCAUUUGAGCCAGUUGUUCUUCGAUGGAGGUAACGCCGAUGGUCAUGACUUGUGCAACCAAUAGACGUGACUUUCCUUUAGACAUCCAAGAUGCUGAAGAAGAACGUCAUUGGUUGUUUUGGGAUGUCAUCUUGUGUGCCUCAGCAACAUGCUUUGGUGCCCCCAGCGAGGUCAGGUUGAUGACAGACUCACACCUUUGAUGCUCCCUUUGCUCUUUUAGCGGCACCAACUUUGAAGUGGCAUGUUAAGGAGCGGUUGUGGUGCUAAUGGAUUGUCCAUUUGCGGCAGAAGUGCUUAGGAUCCUUCCCUCAGUGAUUGCGAGAACGGCUUGUCCCUUGCUUGAUGCCAUUGAUUUUGAGGUGUGUUUGGAUUCCUUAAACGGAGAAAGAUAUGAGAGGUAGAGAUUGUCCCACCGGGCGUGCCAAUUUGUGAACACGAAAAUUUCCUGAAACGAAAGAGACAAGAACAACGUGCACAAAAUAAUAUUUUGGUGUUAAUGGAUUUGUUGGGUUACGAUCUCUUUUAACUUGAUCCUCUGAUUCGAUCUCCGUAAGGUGUUGAUUUAUGGAUGUUUCGUUGAUCUAAGGGCCGUCGAGGCUUGAUCUUGGAUGAACUGUUGGAAGUUUCUUCAAGGGGCCGUGGGCUUGAUCUUUGAAGGUGGAUUUGAGCGGAUCUUCAAGGAGCCGUUGGGGCUUGAUCUUGAGGAUGAGUGUUUCUUCAAGGGCCGUUAAGGCUUGAUCUUGAAUAACGGUGAUGAACGGAUCUUCAAGGGCUUUUGGGCUUGAUCUUGAAGAACGGUUGGAUGUGUGGAUUUGUUGAUGUUGUUGAUCCAAGGGCCGUCGGGGCUUGAUCUUGGAAGAACGAUGAACGAAGAACGAAGAACACUUUCUUCAAAGGCCGUCGGGGCUUGAUCUUGAAUUGGUGAUUGUUGAUCCAAGGGCCGUCGGGGCUUGAUCUUGGAAGAACGGUGAACGAAGAAUGAAGAACGAAGAACACUUUCUUCAAGGGCCGUCGGGGCUUGAUCUUGAAUUGGUGAUUGUUAAUCAAAGGGCCGUCGGGGCUUGAUCUUGGAAGAACGAUGAACGAAGAACGAAGAAGGCUUUCUUGAUUCUUCGGGAUGAACGGAUGAUGAACAAUGAACACUUUCUUCAAGGGCCAUCGGGGCUUGAUCUUGAAUUGGUGGAAGUUCUUCAGGGCCUUUGGGGCUUGAUCUUGAAGGUGGAUGAUUGUUGAUCCAAGGGCCGUCGGGGCUUGAUCUUGGGAUGAACAGUUGUGUGGAUUUGUUGAACACUUUCUUCAAGGGCCGUCGAUGCUUGAUCUUGAAUUGGUGGAAGUUCGUCAAGGGCCGUUGGGGCUUGAUCUUGAAGAAGGAUUUGACGAAGAACGAAGAGAGCUUUCUUGAUCCUUCGGAAUUUGCUUGAAUUUGGGAGGUUGGAUGCUUGAAAGCUUUAGAGUUUCAAAGCUUCAAGGAUUUUGGAUGUGUGGGGAGUAUUCUCUUACAUUUUGGGAGUAGAGAAAUGUAUUUGUGAAUUGGUUUUUGAUACCUUGAUGUAGAAGCCUAUUUAUAGGCUUUGAGAAUGAAUCACCACCACAAAAUAUUUUUUUCUUUUCCAAGCACCAUUGCCUAAUUUCCCACUUAAUACAAUUUUAAACUUGAAGUGGUAAUUUUAUGGCCUAAUUUUCCACUUAAUAUCAUUUUAAACUUGAUAUGUGCAUGCUUUGUCAUUGCCCAAAAUGAGAAGAAAACCUUGUUUUGAUCUUCAAUGGAUUGAAAUGUGCUUUGCCUUGUCAUUGCCCAAAAUGAGAAGAAAAACUUGUGUAAUCCUCCAAGGGUAUUUCUUUUUAUUUUGUUGAGUCACACACCAUGUGUACAAUUUGUAUGACACGUGGCAUAUGCCAUAUAUGCCUUGACACGUCAAAAUUUUAAUGCGUUGGUGAACAUUUAUUUCACCGCAAUUUCGAUGUCUACAAUUUCAUUUCUUGUGAAUAAUGUUUAUCCUGUGUUCUGUCCAAUCGCGUAUUAAAAAAUGUGUGAAGUUUGGAUUAACCACACUCUUUUAGAAUUUCCUUUAUUUACCACUUUUUGAGAAUUUCCAAUAAGACUGGGUGAGUCUCCGCUGAGAAUUUCCUCAACUAACACCACACUACUUGAGGGAUAAUUUGUUAUAUCUUUGAAUAAAGAAUAAAACAGUUUCCUACUUUUGAAGGUACUAUUAACUUACACUAUAUUUGGAUGAAGGUCAAACUUUAUAAAUUGACAUACACCAAAUUCUUUGUUUGGAUUCAUAAACAUAUAAAUUUAGAAUUUCCGCGUGGAAAAAAAAAAUACUUAGAAUUUGAGACCUCCAAUUCUCAAAUUGAAAGUUUAAAAAUAAUAAAUUCCGUAUUCAAUUCAAUUGUUCUUUUAGGUUAACCAAAUAAGAAAAUUCACAAAUUCUAAAAUAUAAAAUCUCAUCAUUUCAAUUUCCGUCAUUUUAAAAUUCCUUAGUAAUAUUAAAUUUCUUCAUCCAAACAUAGUGUUAAGAAAUUUUUUAAAGAUACACUAUUUACACUCAUUUUUAUUUCUUACACAUUUAUUAACUUUGUCCAUUGAUUUCUUCAAUUCAUUUUGCCAGUUAUACAAAAAUUGAGAACAGUAUUUAUGAAUUAAAAAUACAUUUGUAGAUGUCACUACCAAAUUUUUAUUCCUAAUUCAAGAAAAUCUUAUCCAUAUAUGAUUGCCCUUGCCCACUUUAAAUGGGUGCCAUCACUUUACGAUAGAGCAAUCCUAACCGUCCACCUAGGUAAGCAUAACUGGCGAUGCAUGUCGCAAGGGGACCGCAUUGCACAAUAUAAUUAUACUAGUUGAUAAGACAAGUGAUGUCAAUCAAUAAAUUAUUUCAUUAAAACUUAGUUGUAUGUAUCAUAUGUUGUAAUGUAGGGUGUAUGAUAUGCUGACGCUGUAAAAAAAUGUAACCUUUUUAAUAUUACUCAUAAUAGUAAGACUUACCAGUAUUAGGAUGUUAUCAGUGGAAUGAGAAUCCUCUCCAGAUCUUUUUUGUGAGCUAUUAUUUGUAUUUAAUUUUAAAUAUAAAAAAUUAAAAUAAUUUAUGACGGCAGUGAUUCACAUGAUCUUCACAAAGAGAAUCCAAAUAAUCUUAAUUUAUAUCAGUGUGUCUAGAUAACAUGAUCGAGCCCCUUUACUUUUACCCUAUUUAGUAUUUUACAUUUGAACCUGUAAAUAUUCGAUUUUUCUUUGGUGCAACCGAGCACCAAAUAUAGAUUUUUUUUCACUUUUAUAUAAUGAUAAAUAAAGGGCAAUUGGCAGAUUUGAAUUCCAUUCGGAUUGGUCAAAAAUCAUUUUAAAUUGUUUUAUUUAAAAUUAAACACAUAUAGUACUUAAUAAAAAUUAGUCGUACAAUAUACGAUAAACAGAUAUAAUGUAAGGACCUUUAUGAUCUUCACAAAAAAGAUCCAAAGGUUGUGUAGCUGUUUCAAAAGGAUAAUACUCACUUUUGAUUAGUUCAAUGAAAUUUUAAACAUGUUUUAUUGUUUUAAAAAAUAAUAAACAUAUUUAUUAAUGUUUGUUUUACUUUAAAAAAUAAGCAGCACUUGACAACAUUUGAUUGUGCUAAAUAAAAAAUGAGUGACCACUUAGUACUACAGUCUUAUGAUAUUUUUCUUCAUUUGAAAGUGAGAGGUUUUAAGUUCGAAUCUCGUGGAUGACGAAUUUGAUAUCAAAUUAGAUUGCUCACUAUGUGGCUUAGCCGAACUCUCAUUUCCUUUAAUGUAAAAAUAUUGAUGUAUUCAAAAAAAUAAAAAGUGACUAUAGAGGACACUCAAUCUCAGCUGUAUGAUUAAAUCAGACGGUAAGAAAAAUUCUGCAAGCAUACUCGGUUACAUUAAUUGAAGAAAAAAUGGGUAAAUAUUGGGCACCAACGUUAUAAAUACCCUCCACCAUGCACCCAACUCCCUCACACCAUCACAACCCACGUUACAAAUCCUCCUCCUCAUCAUAACCAUUCUGUUUUCCGCAUAAUAUCCAAAAACCUAUCAUGUCUGAAGAGAAACACCACCGCGGUCUCUUCCACCACCACAAGGAUGAAGACAAACCCUCAGACUACCCUCAGUCUGGCUACUCUGAUGAAGGACGUCCCGGCGGCCUCGGUGGUGGUUACGGCGACACCAAUGAUUAUUCUGGUGAAGGACGUACCGGCGGCCUAGGUGGUGGCUAUGGCGACACCAAUGCUUAUUCUGGUGAAGGACGUCCCGGCGGCUAUGGCGGCUAUAACGAGACCACUGCUUACUCUGAGGAAAGAGUUGAAAGACCCGGCGGUGGCCGGUACAGUGAGACUACUGCGGCAUAUGGCAGCACCACCACUCAUGAAUCUGAACUUGAUUACAAGAAGGAGGAGAAGCACCACAAGCAUCUCGAGCACCUCGGCGAGGCCGGUGUAGCUGCUGCCGGCGCUUUUGCCUUGGUACGUAUUGUAUUUUAACCCACCUCUAUAUAUAUAUAUAUUAGAAUAAUGCUAAUAAGACCAAAUUUUGAAAACUAAAUGAUGUGGUUGUUGAUAAUGAACUUAUUACUCAAGUCUUGAUUAACAUGCUUAUUUUCUAAUAGUGACACAUUAUUUGGUUUAGAAAUUUGGUCUUCCUAACUUUAUCAUUCUCAAAAUUUUCAUGAUUUUGAUAGGGUAAUACGGGAGAUCAAAAUUUCUAAACCAAAUUUGCAAACCAAUAGAUGAUUGGAUUAUUAAUUAAGUAUCGAUUGUUUGUUUCUUAUUAACGACAUAUCAUUUGAUUUACAAUUUAGUUAAAAAAAAUUUAUUCUUUCUGUCAUAUCCUUUUGAAUAUUUGAUCACUUUACUCUUUAUCACUUUACCCUUGAUCACUUUACCCAUACUCUUGCAACCGAAUCACCGUCCUCCUCCUUAACCUUCAUUUUUUUGUCUUACAGUACUCCAAUCUAUCAACUCUGUCCAUUGCAACUUUAAUUGUGAAGAAAAUUAAAGUCCUAUCGUAAAAUUAAUUAGUGAUAUGGAGAGUUGCGCAAUUAUUGAUGGACUAGGUAGGUAAGAUACGGAAUCAAAGUCUACCAUUAACAAUGGACGGAAUUGAUGAACCAUAUAGGUAUGUAAGAUACGGAAUCAAAGUCCUCAUGUAAAUGGUACAGUUGCAAUCAGGAGAAGAAAUGAGUUAACUGAUACCUUCGUAAUAGUUCAUGUAGAGUUUUGAUAUUAUUAAGCCUUAACCACCUGAUCUUAUAUAUACGAGGACAAAUCUAAUCAAAUAUGUGUUAAUUUCAAGGUUUGUUUUACAUUGAUGUGAGAUCGAUGCUAGCAAGAUAUAUAACUUAUGUCAGUUUCUAUAUGAUGUGUGUAGCAUGAGAAGCACAAUGAAAAGAAAGACCCAGAGCAUGCCCACAGGCACAAGAUAGAAGAGGAGAUUGCUGCAGCAGCUGCAGUUGGUUCGGGUGGAUUUGCCUUCCAUGAGCAUCAUGAGAAGAAAGAGACAAAGGAAGAAGAGGAAGAGGCUUAUGGAAAGAAGAAGCACCACCACUUCUAGAUCUAUGUGGAUUGUGGAACAUCAUCUUUUGACUACAUAUGCAAUGUUGUGUUUUUACUAGUUAUCAUGUGGUGUGAUCAGUGAGAGUGUGAUGCUUAAUCUCAACAAUAUCGCUACAAUAGUUGAGUGGUUAAAUGUC
rnacentral:lncRNA from 1 species